rnacentral:rRNA from 1 species
UCGGUAAUUCCAGCUCCAAUAGCGUAUAUUAAUGUUGUUGCAGUUAAAAAGCUCGUAGUUGGAUUUCUGGCGCCAGCGUCGGUCCGCCCGUUUCGGGUGUGUACUGGACGCCUGGCGCCAUCCUUGUGGAGAAGGCUUGGCAUUCACUUGCUCGAGUCGGAUCUGCAUCGUUUACUGUGAACAAAUCAGAGUGUUCAAAGCAGGCAUUUGCUUGAAUACAUUAGCAUGGAAUAAUAAGAUAGGACUUUGGUGCUAUUUUGUUGGUUGCGUACCAGAGUAAUGAUUAAUAGGGAUAGUUGGGGGCAUUCAUACUUCAUUGUCAGAGGUGAAAUUCUUGGAUUUAUGAAAGAUGAACAGCUGCGAAAGCGUUCGCCAAGGAUGUUUUCAUUAAUCAGGAGCGAAAGUCAGGGGAUCGAAGAGGAUUAGAUACCCUCGUAGUCUUGACCAUAAACUAUGCCGACUCAGGAUUGGCAGACGUUGUUUUAUGACUCUGUCAGCACUGUAUGAAAAAUCAAAGUCUUUGGGUUCCGGGGGGAGUAUGGUCGCAAGGCUGAAACUUAAAGGAAUUGACGGAAGGGCACCACCAGGAGUGGAGCCUGCGGCUUAAUUUGACUCAACACGGGA